AUGACACAGAACCUUGUACGACUACCAUCCGAGGCAAGAGAUGAUAAGUACCACAACAUCGAGUGCACGAUUACCGUCGACCCUCAAAACCAAGUACCCCUUCGGAUACGCCAAGUUCGACAACACUGCCAGACCAGAAACGCCAAUACUGCCUUCAUGGAUUUGUUUGGGGUACCACGACCCCCGGAGCCCUCAGAUUCAUCAAGUUCCCACAACGACUUAAGUGUACCCCUCCAAUUCACCAAGUUCAGCUACCGUCGAUACCUUGAACAACUACUUCCACUACACCGCCGUGUACCACUACCGUCGACCGCAAAGACCCCGUGGACGUCAAGUUCCGUGUCGUUGACCGCGAACCUCUACGAAAACAUUGUACGACUGCUUCCGUGGCCGAAGACCCGUGUACAACUACCGUCGCUGUGUACGACUACCUGCACUACGAACAUCCUGAGAACGUCUACUUCCUCUACUUUGCACCGAACGAGAACUGUCCCUUUUGCACGCUUCGAAGGUAUAACCCCGAGACGACCGUCCAAGAACGUUUGCAUGUGUUGUAUGAGAUGCACCUGUUGUCUGCACCGUGUCCGAGUUGUCACUUGCUCGGUCCUCCUCUUUUGCCGCUAA
rnacentral:rRNA from 1 species